UGUUCUGACUGCUUUCUCCCAUAG
rnacentral:piRNA from 1 species